rnacentral:lncRNA from 1 species
GAAUGUUGAAAACGAAUGUUGAAUGUUGAAAACGAAUGUUGAAAGUUGAAAACGAAUGUUGAAUGUUGAAAACGAAUGUUGAAAGUUGAAAAUCGAAUGUUGAAAACGAAUGUUGAAUGUUGAAAACGAAUGUUGAAAUGUUGAAAACGAAUAUUGAAAGUUGAAAAUCGAAUGUUGAAAACGAAUGUUGAAUGUUGAAAACGAAUGUUGAAUGUUGAAAACGAAUGUUGAAUGUUGAAAACGAAUGUUGAAUGUUGAAAU